rnacentral:rRNA from 1 species
AUGUUGAUGCAGAGCCAGACCCGGUGCCUUCCUUGGAGCAGGUGUGGGUCCUUGUCUACGGCUUGCCUCGUGGUGGUAGGGCGGUGCCGCGGGGUGGAAAGCUUGCCCACAUCCUCAAGGCGCACGAUCUCUGAGCCGAUGGGCAAGUUGGUGACUGCUGAUCUGGCCUCCUUCGAGGAUGAUGGUCCUGCUCGCAUUGAGAUUCUCUGCCCCGCUCCGGCAGAGAUUGAUGGUCUGUCCUUGGUAUUCUACUUUGACAAGAAAGGAAAGUGCCUCACCUUUGAGCUUGAGUCCCCGGUUCUUCUCGAUCUGCCUGGGCCGGUCCCCGGUGACACUUUGCCUCACCAGGGCGAGGGGCAUGGUGGCGAUGGGGCCUCAUCUGGGGAGAGCUCCUCUGGUUAG